AUGCUGGCCCUACCUCUGGGCAAGUGCCAAAGACUUGGCUUUUCCCUGUCUGCAAAACGGGUUGAUGCAGGAUUAAGUAACACAAGUGAACAACUAACCCCGGGGCACAGCAAACCCAUGAUAAGCCAACUAGCAUCUGUACCUCCUCACAAAUGUGACACUGCACAUGUCCAGCCCAGUUCCAGGCUUGUUCCCCACAAAACCCACAACAAAUGUCAUUUACUUCUUUCCCCCAAAUCCUGGAUCUCAGCUCUGGGUGGGGAAGGGUCAGCUAUGCUUUCUUGGUAUAAUUAUCGUUCCUUUAUUUGGAUGUUCCCAGGCUUGUUUUACACCAAUUGUUUGAAUCUUCAUUUCUGUACGUGCUUCAUACUGUUUGGGGAGAAAUCUCUCAGUAGCAGUUCCCCAGAAUGUGCCUUGUGGAGACAUGGUGGAAAGGAAAAAGAACCCAGUUCCUGGAGCUCCAGUAGGUGCCUGCAUGUGGUCACAGGACUUCUUGACUUCAAGGCGUUGACUUCUACUGAAAUGAUGAGCCAAGUAUGCUACAGGUCAUGAACAACUUAUUCACUGUGGCAGUGAUGGCUAAUUAACAGUGAACAUAAUAAAGAAGUAUAUACAGUUCA
rnacentral:lncRNA from 1 species